UGUGGUGACGAUGGCGAGAAGGAUACACCUGUUCCCAUGUCGAACACAGAAGUUAAGCUUCUUAGCGCCGAGA
rnacentral:rRNA from 2 species